rnacentral:rRNA from 1 species
GGUAUAGACCCGAAACCCGGUGAUCUAGCCAUGGGCAGGUUGAAGGUUGGGUAACACUAACUGGAGGACCGAACCGACUAAUGUUGAAAAAUUAGCGGAUGACUUGUGGCUGGGGGUGAAAGGCCAAUCAAACCGGGAGAUAGCUGGUUCUCCCCGAAAGCUAUUUAGGUAGCGCCUCGUGAACUCAUCUUCGGGGGUAGAGCACUGUUUCGGCUAGGGGGUCAUCCCGACUUACCAACCCGAUGCAAACUACGAAUACCGAAGAAUGUUAUCACGGGAGACACACGGCGGGUGCUAACGUCCGUCGUGAAGAGGGAAACAACCCAGACCGCCAGCUAAGGUCCCAAAGUCAUGGUUAAGUGGGAAACGAUGUGGGAAGGCACAGACAGCCAGGAUGUUGGCUUAGAAGCAGCCAUCAUUUAAAGAAAGCGUAAUAGCUCACUGGUCGAGUCGGCCUGCGCGGAAGAUGUAACGGGGCUAAACC